rnacentral:lncRNA from 1 species
GGGGGGGGGAAGCCCACGGGAAGUGACGCACGCUGCCACGAGGUCAGCGUCCUCCGCCGAGCGCGGCCCUCGCUACAAAGGACUCGCCCCUCUGGCCGCCGACUCUCUCGAAUCUGUCUCAUCUCUCUUGACUCGGCUGCCCUGGUCCUUAAUCGCUGCGCCCCAGCUCCCUCGCGCUGGAGCCUAGACCUGGCCCGGGCUCGCGUAGUGCGGCCUGCGCGUCGCCCGGACUCGACCUCCCCCCCGGGGUGACGCACUUCCGGCGCGACGGAGCCGCGGAGACGGCAGGCCCUCCCGACCCGCAGCGGUGCCGGCGCAGGAAGAAUGGCGAGCUCCUUCCCCCGGCGCCGCGGCGGGGCGGAAGAAAGCCGACCUGCUGGCUUCCCGACCUUUUGAGCCAAGAGACCUCUUCCACAAGCUUCCUCAGGGCCAGGUUCUCGAGCGACACUCUGAAGGUGGCGUUUUUAAUCAGCAGAGCUCUCCAGCCCCAAGUUACCGUCCCCGAGCCUCGCUUGAGCCGAGCUUGGCCGUCUGCUCACGCCAGUGCCUGUGCAUUGCUGAGAACCCAGCUCCAGCCUGGGGACCUGGACCAAGGCCUGCUGUAGCACAUGUUUUGGCCACCACAGGCCCAAAGCAACAGGCCCAAAUGGCUGUGGAUGGAAACCUCCAAGAUGAGAUUGGAUCCAACACAUGGAGAACACCUUACCAGACCAUGUCCGCACCACAGCACCAGGUGUAAGAACAAUCUAUAUAGACUAUCUGACUCCACUCUCUCGCAU